rnacentral:misc_RNA from 1 species
GAUGAAGAACGCAGCGAAAUGCGAUACGUAAUGUGAAUUGCAGAAUUCAGUGAAUCAUCGAAUCUUUGAACGCAUAUUGCGCUCUUUGGUAUUCCGAAGAGCAUGCUUGUUUGAGUAUCAGUAAACACCUCAAAGUCUUUUUUUUUUUCUUGAAGAAAAAGACCUUGGACUUGAGCAAUCCCAACUCUUCUUUCAGAAGAGGCGGGUUGCUUGAAAUGCAGGUGCAGCUGGACAUUCUCCUGAGCUAAAAGCAUAUUCAUUUAGUCCCGUCAAACGGAUUAUUACUUUUGCUGCAGCUAACAUAAAGGGAGUUUGACCAUUUUGGCUGACUGAUGCAGGAAUUUCACAAGAGUCUUCAAAACGCUCUUGUUAAACUCGAUCUCAAAUCAAGUAAGACUACCCGCUGAACUUAAGCAUAUCAAUAAGGGAGGA